AUUGAACGCUGGCGUCAGGCCUAACACAUGCAAGUCGAACGAGUGGCGGACGUGUGAGUAAUGUCUGGGAAACUGCCUGAUGGAGGGGGAUAACUACUAGAAACGGUAGCUAAUACCGCAUACCAUCAGAUGUGCCCAGAUGGGAUUAGCUAGUUGGUGUGGUAACGGCUCACAAAGGCGACGAUCCCUAGCUGGUCUGAGAGGAUGACCAGCCAAACUGGAACUGAGACACGGUCCAGACUCCUACGGGAGGCAGCAGUGGUGAAUAUUGCACAAUGGGCGAAAGCCUGAUGCAGCCAUGCCGCGUGUAUGAAGAAGGACGUCGGGUUGUAAAGUACUGUCAGCGGGGAGGCGUUACCCGCAGAAGAAGCACCGGCUAACUCCGUGCCAGCAGCCGCGGUAAUUC
rnacentral:rRNA from 1 species